GACGAACGUUGGCGGCGUGCCUAAUACAUGCAAGUAGAACGCUGAAGCUUGGUGCUUGCACCGAGCGGAUGAGUUGCGAACGGGUGAGUAACGCGUAGGUAACCUGCCUGGUAGCGGGGGAUAACUAUUGGAAACGAUAGCUAAUACCGCAUAAAAUGAAUUAUCGCAUGAUAAUUCAUUGAAAGGUGCAAAUGCAUCACUACCAGAUGGACCUGCGUUGUAUUAGCUAGUUGGUGGGGUAACGGCUCACCAAGGCGACGAUACAUAGCCGACCUGAGAGGGUAAUCGGCCACACUGGGACUGAGACACGGCCCAGACUCCUACGGGAGGCAGCAGUAGGGAAUCUUCGGCAAUGGACGGAAGUCUGACCGAGCAACGCCGCGUGAGUGAAGAAGGUUUUCGGAUCGUAAAGCUCUGUUGUAAGAGAAGAACGAGUG
rnacentral:rRNA from 1 species